UCCCGUACUUGGUGUUACUGCGAAGGGGGGACGGAGAAGGCUAUGUUGGCCGGGCGACGGUUGUCCCGGUUUAAGCGUGUAGG
rnacentral:rRNA from 1 species